ensembl:lncRNA
CAGCCAGCUCAGAGCAGUGCCGCACCUCCUAUCACAUGCCCAGCUGAGCUCUGCCUGGGGCUCUGCUGGUCCUCCGCAAAUGGUUUCCCAGGGGAGCAGCAGUUCCCACACAGCAUUCCAAGGACAUCCAUACUUUAAAAAAUGGGGGAGAAACAUAUUUAGGAAUUGCUCACAGCCACUUUAUAAGAGGGGGAAAGAACACAUAUGCAAGAAAGAUAGUAAGCAUCAGAGUGCUCAGAAACACGGAAAAGGACAGUUCUCUAUCAGUGAUAAUGCCUAUUAUAUGACAUUCAAACACCACAAGUGCCAUUCAGCUGCUUGUAAGUCACAAAAGAUUUUCCUGGGAUUACCCUCCCAAAAAGCUCUUCACAACUGAAGUCUUUCUUUGGGGCCUCCUUCUGGGAAAAUUCAAAUGAAGACACUGGAGAAGAGAUAAGAAAGACGGCUGCCAUAUUGUGAAGCAGCCUUGGGGAGAGGUCCAAGUGGUGAAGAAUGGAGGCUUGCAAGAAACCCCAUCAAUGCACUUGGAAGCAGAUCUUCUGAGACCUGCCAGCCACCAAGUGAGUGAGCUUGCAAGCAGCUCCUUCCCCAUUCAGGCCUUGAGACAUCUGCAUCCCCAGCCAACACUUUGACCGCCACAUCCCAAAAGAUGCUGAGCUCACCAGGCUAAGCAGCACCUAGAUACCUUACUUGCUAGAGAAUACUGCUCAGCUACAAAAGGAAUAAACUAUUGAUACAUGCAAUAACACGGAUGAAAUCUCAAAAGCAUUAUGCUAAGUGAGAGCUGUCAGACACUGGAGAAUACAGA